GAUAGGGGAUUUGCAUAUAUUUCAAAACUUUGGUUUAUGGCAAUAUAUAUUGAUUGUGCUGAGCAAGACACAAAUAUAGGACAUUAAUUUUUUUUAAGGCGAUAAGCGUAACUUGCAUUAGGUUUUUUAGACCUAUAUAAGGCACAUGUCUUCUAUCUUUCUUACUCAAAACCUAAAUGCAAAGCCUAAGCAUUUUUCUAUAAUGGUUGCGAUAAGUUGAUAAUGACUCAUAUAUCCUAAAUCUCUACACAUAAGUUGUGACCAAUGAAAAGUCCAAAAAAUCCAACCUAAAACUAAAUCGAUGUCCACAUUAAAUAGAUCUAAUGUCUUCUUAUUUUAUAAAUAAC
rnacentral:lncRNA from 1 species